rnacentral:rRNA from 1 species
UAACACUAACUGGAGGACCGAACCGACUAAUGUUGAAAAAUUAGCGGAUGACCUGUGGCUGGGGGUGAAAGGCCAAUCAAACCGGGAGAUAGCUGGUUCUCCCCGAAAGCUAUUUAGGUAGCGCCUCGUGAAUUCAUCUCCGGGGGUAGAGCACUGUUUCGGCUAGGGGGCCAUCCCGGCUUACCAACCCGAUGCAAACUGCGAAUACCGGAGAAUGUUAUCACGGGAGACACACGGCGGGUGCUAACGUCCGUCGUGAAGAGGGAAACAACCCAGACCGCCAGCUAAGGUCCCAAAGUCAUGGUUAAGUGGGAAACGAUGUGGGAAGGCCCAGACAGCCAGGAUGUUGGCUUAGAAGCAGCCAUCAUUUAAAGAAAGCGUAAUAGCUCACUGGUCGAGUCGGCCUGCGCGGAAGAUGUAACGGGGCUAAACCAUGCACCGAAGCUGCGGCAGCGACACUGUGUGUUGUUGGGUAGGGGAGCGUUCUGUAAGCCUGCGAAGGUGGCCUGUGAGGGUUGCUGGAGGUAUCAGAAGUGCGAAUGCUGACAUAAGUAACGAUAAAGCGGGUGAAAAGCCCGCUCGCCGGAAGACCAAGGGUUCCUGUCCAACGUUAAUCGGGGCAGGGUGAGUCGACCCCUAAGGCGAGGCCGAAAGGCGUAGUCGAUGGGAAACGGGUUAAUAUUCCCGUACUUGGUGUUACUGCGAAGGGGGGACGGAGAAGGCUAUGUUGGCCGGGCGACGGUUGUCCCGGUUUAAGCGUGUAGGCUGGAUUUUCCAGGCAAAUCCGGAAAAUCAAGGCUGAGGCGUGAUGACGAGGCACUACGGUGCUGAAGCAACAAAUGCCCUGCUUCCAGGAAAAGCCUCUAAGCAUCAGGUAACAUCAAAUCGUACCCCAAACCGACACAGGUGGUCAGGUAGAGAAUACCAAGGCGCUUGAGAGAACUCGGGUGAAGGAACUAGGCAAAAUGGUGCCGUAACUUCGGGAGAAGGCACGCUGACACGUAGGUGAAGUGAUUUACUCAUGGAGCUGAAGUCAGUCGAAGAUACCAGCUGGCUGCAACUGUUUAUUAAAAACACAGCACUGUGCAAACACGAAAGUGGACGUAUACGGUGUGACGCCUGCCCGGUGCCGGAAGGUUAAUUGAUGGGGUCAGCGCAAGCGAAGCUCCUGAUCGAAGCCCCGGUAAACGGCGGCCGUAACUAUAACGGUCCUAAGGUAGCGAAAUUCCUUGUCGGGUAAGUUCCGACCUGCACGAAUGGCGUAAUGAUGGCCAGGCUGUCUCCACCCGAGACUCAGUGAAAUUGAACUCGCUGUGAAGAUGCAGUGUACCCGCGGCAAGACGGAAAGACCCCGUGAACCUUUACUAUAGCUUGACACUGAACAUUGAGCCUUGAUGUGUAGGAUAGGUGGGAGGCUUUGAAGUGUGGACGCCAGUCUGCAUGGAGCCGACCUUGAAAUACCACCCUUUAAUGUUUGAUGUUCUAACGUGGACCCGUUACCCGGGUUGCGGACAGUGUCUGGUGGGUAGUUUGACUGGGGCGGUCUCCUCCUAAAGAGUAACGGAGGAGCACGAAGGUUGGCUAAUCCUGGUCGGACAUCAGGAGGUUAGUGCAAUGGCAUAAGCCAGCUUGACUGCGAGCGUGACGGCGCGAGCAGGUGCGAAAGCAGGUCAUAGUGAUCCGGUGGUUCUGAAUGGAAGGGCCAUCGCUCAACGGAUAAAAGGUACUCCGGGGAUAACAGGCUGAUACCGCCCAAGAGUUCAUAUCGACGGCGGUGUUUGGCACCUCGAUGUCGGCUCAUCACAUCCUGGGGCUGAAGUAGGUCCCAAGGGUAUGGCUGUUCGCCAUUUAAAGUGGUACGCGAGCUGGGUUUAGAACGUCGUGAGACAGUUCGGUCCCUAUCUGCCGUGGGCGCUGGAGAACUGAGGGGGGCUGCUCCUAGUACGAGAGGACCGGAGUGGACGCAUCACUGGUGUUCGGGUUGUCAUGCCAAUGGCACUGCCCGGUAGCUAAAUGCGGAAGAGAUAAGUGCUGAAAGCAUCUAAGCACGAAACUUGCCCCGA